AGUGAUUGCUAUCUCACCUGAUCAAGCAACUCCGAGGCUUUCUCCCCUAUGGUGGGCUGAACUCGAGAUAUUAUCUGUUGAGGCGACUUAAGUUCUGCCUGACACUUAUCUCAGUAUUGUAAGUCAUGUCUCUCUCACAUUUCAUGCCAAAAUCUAAAUAAUCAGUUUUUUGAUUGCUGCUUCUCUCCACAUCACUUAAUACCAUCACUAUGCAGCUUC
rnacentral:misc_RNA from 1 species